CGCCUUUUGAACUAUAAAUAUAAAAGGUCCUGCCUGCCCAGUGACACUUGUUUCAACGGCCGCGGUAUCAUGACCGUGCAAAGGUAGCGUAAUCACUUGUCUUUUAAAUAAAGACCAGUAUGAAUGGCAAGACGAAAGCCUAACUGUCUCCUUAAGCUAAUCAAUGAAAUUGAUCUUCCCGUGCAGAAGCGGGAAUAAUAAUAUAAGACGAGAAGACCCUGUGGAGCUUCAAAAUUAAACUAACAUAUCAUUAUGCUUUAGUAUACAGUUUUGGGUUGGGGCGACCAUGAGGUAAAACACAACCCUCAAGACGAAAACUAAGAAGGACACUUCAAAUAAAUAACAAUAUAGUAAUUGACCCAACAAUUGAUCAACGAACCAAGUUACCCCAGGGAUAACAGCGCAAUCUACUCAAAGAGCCCUUAUCGACGAGCAGGUUUACGACCUCGAUGUUGGAUCAGGACUUCCAAAUAAUGUAACAAUUAUUAAAGGUUCGUUUGUUCAACGAUUAAAGUCCU
rnacentral:rRNA from 1 species